UUGUCACUAUAAUAACCAAACUUAUACCUAUAGCAUUUUCUUCUCCUUUUGCUAGAAUAAUGAUUUUCUUUUUUAAUAAGAAACUGGGAACCAUGGCUAGUUCAAGGGAACCUGAGAACUACAACCAAGGAACAUCGUUCGAAGAAAUAAAUAAAUCCAAUAUGGAGAUAGAACUGGCAAGGAGAGAUUUCUUGAGAUCACAUCUAUGCUGCAAUAAUGGCAGAAAGAAAACGGCACAUAGCAGCAGUGUCAAGUUGCUGCCAAAGUGCCAGGCAGACUAAGUAAGUUUCACUAGCAGAGGAUUUUCCACAAUAACUCAAUCUGUAGGUGAUACUUGCUUCAAAUGUACGUGAUAUAAAGAAUUUAAGUAUUAUUUAUAAGUGAUUAGUUUAUAUUUUUAGAAUGUUCAUUUGAUA